ensembl:processed_transcript Gm16348 predicted gene 16348
UUCAUAAUACAAGCAGCUACGCAGAAACUCUGAGUAUGGUGGUGUAAGCCUGUACUAUCAGUGCUAGGGAGGCUGAGGCAGGAAGAUUGCAGGUUCAAGAAAUCCUGUUCAUUGUGGGCUGUGACUCUGAUAAAAAUCCAAACGAGGGGACUUGGAGAACAGCAGGGCAUUAGAACACCUCACCCACAGAACUCCUCAUUGUACACAUCACACCCAGGGCAGCUGUCAUCCGAACCCGCCGGGCCAUGCAUCGUGCCUGCUGGACUGGAGGCCUGCCUGGUAUGUGAUAUUUGAGCAAAUCCCAGUGUGAAGGUUUUGUUUCAGGCUGCCCAAUUUCCUGCCAGCUCCAACUACUGCGGUGACAGGUUGGCUCUCAGCCGCAUCAUCAAGCAGACUCAGGUAACCGAUUGAUCGUCUGUUUACCGAUUAGUGCAUCUCCCUAGUAUAUGGUUCUCUUUUUAAAAUUCUACCAAUUCGUUUUAGUUAGCACAGCAAAUAACGAGCUUCAAUGCAAUAUUUUCAUGGUAUUUUGCUCAUAUCCGUCUCCUAUCCUUCUCUCCCUCCCCUUCCGCUUCCGGUUGUCUCCAUUCUUCCUCCCAAAGCACCUCUCUUCUGCUUUCAUGUCCUGGGUGUGUAUCUAAAGCUAAAGUCUGUGUCUGAGGAAAAAAAGGGCAACAUUCUUCUUUCUAUUUUCCCUCAUUACUCUCUUGCCCCCCCUUCUUUUUAAGUCCCCUCAUCAUGGUCUUCUCUUUAUAACGUUAUGUCUGCUGUAUUGAGUUUGCAAUAUAUAUUCCAUAUAGGAGUAGAAACUUGCAGCUUUGGUAUUUUGAGUCUGGCUUGUUUUACUUAACACGAUGGUUUCCAGCUCAUUUUUCUGCAACUGGCAUAAUUUUAUUAUUCUUUACUACUGAAUGAAGCAGAUAAAAACAAACAAACAAACAAAAAGAAUACAAGUGCUUUUUAAGAAGAGGGUUCAAAAACCACAAAAAUAUCA